rnacentral:misc_RNA from 1 species
CGACCCUCAAGUAUAACUUGGUGUUGGGUGAAGUCCUUUAUGGGGACCCACCCCUAACUUAUAGGCGGUCAUCACCCGCUUUUCCCCCAGCGUAGCAGGCUUACACGCACUCGCUUGGGGACAGGUGAUUUGACUUGCUCAAAAACCCUUUUCAAAAG